AACGAACGCUGGCGGCAUGCCUAACACAUGCAAGUCGAACGAUGCUUUCGGGCUUAGUUGCGCACGGGUGCGUAACGCGUGGGAAUCUGCCCGUGGGUUCGGUAUAACAGUGAGAAAUUGCUGCUAAUACCGGAUGAUGUCUUCGGACCAAAGAUUUAUCGCUCAGGGAUGAGCCCGCGUAGGAUUAGGUAGUUGGUGGGGUAGUGGCCUACCAAGGCGACGAUGCUUAGCUGGUCUGAGAGGAUGACCAGCCACACUGGGAAUGAGACACGGCCCAGACUCGUACGGGGGGGAGCAGUGGGGAACAUUGGACGCUGGGCGCAAGCCUGAUACAGCAAUGCCGGGUGAGUGAUGAAGGCCUUAGGGUUGUAAAGCUCUUUUACCCGGGAUGAUAAUGACAGUACCGGGUGAAUAAGCACCGGCUAACUACGUG
rnacentral:rRNA from 1 species